rnacentral:rRNA from 1 species
GAUGAACGCUGGCGGCGUGCUUAACACAUGCAAGUCGAACGAAGCACCUUAUUUGAUUUCCUUCGGGACUGAUUAUUUUGUGACUGAGUGGCGGACGGGUGAGUAACGCGUGGGUAACCUGCCUUGUACAGGGGGAUAACAGUUGGAAACGGCUGCUAAUACCGCAUAAGCGCACGGCAUCGCAUGAUGCAGUGUGAAAAACUCCGGUGGUAUAAGAUGGACCCGCGUUGGAUUAGCUAGUUGGUGAGGUAACGGCCCACCAAGGCGACGAUCCAUAGCCGACCUGAGAGGCUGACCGGCCACAUUGGGACUGAGACACGGCCCAAACUCCUACGGGAGGCAGCAGUGGGGAAUAUUGCACAAUGGGCGAAAGCCUGAUGCAGCGACGCCGCGUGAGCGAAGAAGUAUUUCGGUAUGUAAAGCUCUAUCAGCAGGGAAGAUAAUGACGGUACCUGACUAAGAAGCACCGGCUAAAUACGUG